rnacentral:tRNA from 1 species
GCUCAGUCAGUUAAACGUCUGACUCCUGAUUUUAGCUCAGGCCAUAAUCACAGUUUGUGGGUUCGAGUCCUGCACUGGGCU